UUCAGGAAGGUCGCGAGUUAGACCUUGAAACAGCAGAUGUUGUUGCGCAUGAGAUGAAAGAAUGGGCAAUCGAAAAAGGUGCAACACAUUAUACUCACUGGUUCCAGCCACUGACCGGAGUAACAGCAGAGAAACAUGAUUCAUUCAUCACA
rnacentral:misc_RNA from 1 species